rnacentral:rRNA from 1 species
UUGCUCUUCAACGAGGAAUCCCUAGUAAGCGCAAGUCAUCAGCUUGCGUUGAUUACGUCCCUGCCCUUUGUACACACCGCCCGUCGCUACUACCGAUUGAAUGGUUCAGUGAGGCUUCCGGACUGGCCCAGGGAGGUCGGCAACGACCACCCAGGGCCGGAAAGCUAUCCAAACUCGAUCAUUUAGAGGAAGUAAAAGUCGUAACAAGGUCUCCGUUGGUGAACCAGCGGAGGGAUCAUUGCUGGAACUGUGUCCGCAAGGACACAANCCCCAGAUACCCUUUGUGAACUUAUUCUUAUAUCGUUGCCUCGGCGCUGAGCUGGGGGCUUCUUUCCAAGGAGCUCUCCCAUGGUCUCUCGGGACGAUGGAGCAAGCCCGCCGGCGGCCCUUCUAAACUCUUGUUUUUAUUACGUAUCUCUUCUGAGUUAUUCAAAACAAAAUGAAUCAAAACUUUCAACAACGGAUCUCUUGGUUCUGGCAUCGAUGAAGAACGCAGCGAAAUGCGAUAAGUAAUGUGAAUUGCAGAAUUCAGUGAAUCAUCGAAUCUUUGAACGCACAUUGCGCCCGCUGGAAUUCCAGCGGGCAUGCCUGUUCGAGCGUCAUUUCACCCCUCAAGCCUUGCUUGGUGUUGGAGCACUACCGUUUGUAUAAAGCGGUAGGCUCUGAAAUUCAGUGGCGGGCUCGCUAAGACUCUGAGCGUAGUAGUUUAUCACCUCGCUUUGGAAGGAUUAGCGGUGCUCUUGCCGUAAAACCCCCCAAUUUCUGAAUUUUGACCUCGGAUCAGGUAGGAAUACCCGCUGAACUUAAGCAUAUCAAUAAGCGGAGGA